GCGGACAUCGCUGCGGCAGAGGGAGGUGGAUUGCGCAAGUGCUCUUGAAUUUAUGAGAAAUUUACUGAUUUCGGCCUUGAAAUGGUUCGGAACUACAAAAGAAAGACUGAACGUGGGUCAGCAACACCCCAACUAAUGCAGGAGGCUGCUGAUUUUGUUCGAAAUAAGAAUAAAUCAGUGAGAGAGUCCGCACAACUGUUUGGUGUCCACUACUCAACCUUACAACGAUUUAUUCACAAAACCUCUGGCAACACUGCUAAAAACAAUACACAUGUAGGAUAUGCCAAACCAAGACAAGUAUUUACAUGUGAGCAGGAAGAAGAAUUAGUAUCCUAUCUGAAAACAGCAGCAGCAAUUUAUUUUGGUCUUUCUCCGAGAGAAGUCAAGGAACUGGCUUUCAAAUGCGCCAAUGAAGCAAAGAUAGAAAUGCCUGAUAAUUGGCGCAAUGAUAAAUAUGCUGGAAAAGACUGGUUUUCAGGUUUCAUGAAGCGACAUGGACAAGAACUCUCAAUUAGACCCCAUCCUUCCUCUUCUACAGCCAAUGAACCCCUUCCUUCCACUUCAACUGCAGUAGGACCACAACCAGCAGUAGCUUCUUUCAUUACUGAUCAAGUUGAAACUGCAAAUGUUGGUGAGUCUUCCCUUUGCCCAGAAAAAAUCAUGCCACAUCCAAAAGCAACACCUCGGAAAAAGAAAUGUAAUACAGGCAGAAAAGCACGUAAAAGUGCCAUAUUAACAGACACACCUGAAAGAAAUGCUCUGUUUGCUGAAGCCAUUAAGAAAAAAAAAACAAAUAGAAUGAUGUCAAAGAAAAGAAAGCCACCAAGUAAAGGAAGCAGGAGUUUUUACACAAAGUUCGAUCCAAAAAACCUGUUGAAAAGUACGACAUAUCCAGCUCAGACGACGAAGACUGGUAUUGUCUGAUUUGUGUAGAACCAUAUUCCAAUAGCAGGCCCCGGGAGAAAUGGAUUCAAUGUAGUACAUGCAGAGGAUGGUCUCAUGAGGAAUGUUUGGGAACAGAUGGAGGUAUAAUUUUAUAUUAUAUUUGUCAUAACUGUGAAUCUGAUGAUGAAUAAAUUUAAGGUUCAUCGGUUCAGUUUA